GAUGAACGCUGGCGGCGUGCCUAAUACAUGCAAGUCGAGCGAACAGACGAGGAGCUUGCUCCUCUGACGUUAGCGGCGGACGGGUGAGUAACACGUGGAUAACCUACCUAUAAGACUGGGAUAACUUCGGGAAACCGGAGCUAAUACCGGAUAAUAUAUUGAACCGCAUGGUUCAAUAGUGAAAGACGGUUUUGCUGUCACUUAUAGAUGGAUCCGCGCCGCAUUAGCUAGUUGGUAAGGUAACGGCUUACCAAGGCGACGAUGCGUAGCCGACCUGAGAGGGUGAUCGGCCACACUGGGACUGAGACACGGUCCAGACUCCUACGGGAGGCAGCAGUAGGGAAUCUUCCGCAAUGGGCGAAAGCCUGACGGAGCAACGCCGCGUGAGUGAUGAAGGUCUUCGGAUCGUAAAACUCUGUUAUUAGGUAAGAACAAAUGUGUAAGUAACUAUGCACGUCUUGACGGUACCUAAUCAGAAAGCCACGGCUAACUACGUG
rnacentral:rRNA from 1 species